GACGAACCGUGCGAACGUUAUUCGGAAUCACUGGCUUAAAGCGCGUGUAGGCGGGACGGCACGUCGGUCGCUGAAAGCCCCCGGCUCAACCCUGGAAAGCCGGACCGAUACUGUCGGACUAGAGUCCGGAAGAGGCGAGUGGAAUUCCCGGUGGUAGCGGUGAAAUGCGCGAUAUCGGGAGGAACACCAAUGGCGAAGGCAGCUCGCUGGGACGGUACGUGACGGCUGAGCGCGAAAGCGUGGGAGCAACAGG
rnacentral:rRNA from 1 species